rnacentral:snRNA from 1 species
AAUGACAUUCCUUGUAAAUAAGU